rnacentral:rRNA from 1 species
CCUACGGGAGGCAGCAGUGGGGGAUAUUGCACAAUGGGGGAAACCCUGAUGCAGCGACGCCGCGUGGGCGAAGAAGUAUUUCGGUAUGUAAAGCCCUAUCAGCAGGGAAGAAGAAAUGACGGUACCUGAGUAAGAAGCACCGGCUAAAUACGUGCCAGCAGCCGCGGUAAUACGUAUGGUGCAAGCGUUAUCCGGAUUUACUGGGUGGAAAGGGAGCGCAGGCGGCACGGCAAGCCUGAUGUGAAAGCCCGCGGCCCAACCGCGGGACUGCAUUGGGAACUACCGGGCUGGAGUGACGGAGAGGUAGGCGGAAUUCCUAGUGUAGCGGUGAAAUGCGUAGAUAUUAGGAGGAACACCAGUGGCGAAGGCGGCCUACUGGACGGUGACUGACGCUGAGGCUCGAAAGCGUGGGGAGCAAACAGGAUUAGAUACCCCAGUAGUC